UACGGAGGGUGCGAGCGUUAAUCGGAAUAACUGGGCGUAAAGGGCACGCAGGCGGGCUUUUAAGUGAGAUGUGAAAUCCCCGGGCUUAGCCUAGGAAUAGCAUUUCAGACUGGGAGUCUAGAGUGCUUUAGGGAGGGGUAGAAUUCCACGUGUAGCGGUGAAAUGCGUAGAUAUGUGGAGGAAUACCGAAGGCGAAGGCGGCCCCUUGGGAAUGUACUGACACUCAUGUGCGAAAGCGUGGGGAGCAAACAGG
rnacentral:rRNA from 1 species